CGUUGAAACACCAGUUUCCUUACGAUGAGCGAAGUUAAGCAACGUAGAGCCUGGUCAGUACGACGAUGGGUGACCGCUUGGGAAAUACCAGGUGCUUCA